AUACGUAGGUCCCGAACGUUGCGCGAAAUUACUGGGCGUAAAGGGUCCGUAGGCGGUCUGGUAAGUGGAAGGUGAAAGCCUGGGGCUCAACUCCAGAAUUGCCUUCCAAACUGCCGGACUUGAGGCAGGGAGAGGUCGGCGGAAUUCCCGGUGUAGUGGUGAAAUGCGUAGAUAUCGGGAGGAACACCAGUGGCGAAGGCGGCCGACUGGAACUGUCCUGACGCUGAGGGACGAAAGCCAGGGGAGCGAACCGGAGUAGAUACCCUAGUAGUCC
rnacentral:rRNA from 1 species